CUCUCCAUCUGCACAUCGUCGGAAAUGACAUUCACUGAAGGGGACAUGCCGGCAAUUCGGCUGUGGUGGUGUCUUCAGUCGAUGGAGAGAUUUUGCACUGACGGGCAUGGACAUAGAUUUGCGUUUUGGACGGAAGAAGCAUCUCUGCUUCUUCAGGGAACUCUCCAGCCAGUAUUCAGAGUUCGAAAGGCAACCACCUCCAAACCUUAAGAUGUUUUGACAACAGAAAGAAAGGAGGAACUGAGGACACUAUCCAGAGAUACCCACCGGGCUACUGCAAUCCCUUUUACUGACAAAUAAAUUAUGACUAAUUUCAUUUUUUUCUUGCCUUUUUAUUGAAACUAUUACUAUGCACUGUAACAUAACUCUAGCAGAGGAUAAUGACACAGCAUGAGGUUGUACGGGCUGUACAAGACUUAAGAC
rnacentral:lncRNA from 1 species